GUUAACUUUCCUUAGGUUUAAAACUUGGAAACUCUAUCUAGCAAGACGUCAAGAGUAAUUAUGAAACAAAAUAAGAGGAGAAAAUAAAUUAUACGCCUCUUCGACAGUUCAAUUUGACAAGAAAAAUAAUAAGGUCUUUGCCACUAGCAAUAAUAAUAAUAAUGAAUCUCAAACCAACAUCAAUAAUUUGCAAUCUUACUUUAAAUUACUACUUGAGAAACACACCUGAACAACUAGAAUACAAAGAGCGCAUAAUUCUACCAUGCGAAAUAGCUUACAGCACAAGGACAAACACACAUUCAACAAUUAAUUGAUUUCAAUAAACAAUAUCAAACUUGUAAACAAAAGAAAACUUCAUGAGAGGGUCAAUCUACUUUGGAGAAAGGGAAUAUUGGUUCUAAUCCUUGUUUGAAUAGGUUGCAUCAGUAUUCAGUAGUUGCUUAUGGAGGCAAAUUGUUAACUUUCCUUAGGUUUAAAACUUGGAAACUCUAUCUAGCAAGACGUCAAGAGUAAUUAUCAAACAAAAUAAGAGGAGAAAAUAAAUUAUACGCCUCUUCGACAGUUCAAUUUGGCAAGAAAAAUAAUAAGGUCUUUGCCACUAGCAAUAAUAAUAAUAAUGAAUCUCAAACCAACAUCAAUAAUUUGCAAUCUUACUUUAAAUUACUACUCGAGAAACACACCUGAACAACUAGAAUACAAAGAGCGCAUAAUUCUACCAUGCGAAAUAGCUUACAGC
rnacentral:lncRNA from 1 species